UUCAUCCUUGUCUUGGGGGAGCAAAGUAUACAAUGAUCGUUUAGUGAGGAUACUGUUGCUGAAGCCCAUUAUGAAUUUAUAAAACUCGCAUCCACGCAUAAUUUUGUCGUGAGAUGCAAUUUUUGAAAGC